UUGACCUCAAAUCAGGUAAGACUA
rnacentral:rRNA from 2 species